rnacentral:rRNA from 1 species
GACGAACGCUGGCGGCGUGCUUAACACAUGCAAGUCGAACGGAAAGGCCCUUCGGGGUACUCGAGUGGCGAACGGGAGCGUAACGCGUGGGUGAUCUGCCCUGCACUUUGGGAUAAGCCUGGGAUAAUGGGACUAAUACCGAAUAGGACCACGAGCUUCUUGGUGAGUGGUGGGAAGCUUUGGCGGUGUGGGAUGGGCCCGCGGCCUAUCAGCUUGUUGGUGGGGUAAUGGCCUACCAAGGCGACGACGGGUAGCCGGCCUGAGAGGGUGACCGGCCACACUGGGACUGAGAUACGGCCCAGACUCCUACGGGAGGCAGCAGUGGGGAAUAUUGCACAAUGGGCGCAAGCCUGAUGCAGCGACGCCGCGUGAGGGAUGACGGCCUUCGGGUUGUAAACCUCUUUCACCAGGGACGAAGCGUAAGUGACGGUACCUGGAGAAGAAGCACCGGCCAACUACGUG